UACGUAGGGUGCGAGCGUUGUCCGGAAUCACUGGGCGUAAAGGGCGCGUAGGCGGACUUUUAAGUCAGGGGUGAAAUCCUGAGGCUCAACCUCAGAACUGCCUUUGAUACUGAGGGUCUCGAGACCGGUAGAGGUAAGUGGAACUGCGAGUGUAGAGGUGAAAUUCGUAGAUAUUCGCAAGAACACCAGUGGCGAAGGCGGCUUACUGGACCGGUUCUGACGCUGAGGCGCGAAAGCGUGGGGAGCAAACAGG
rnacentral:rRNA from 1 species